CAUGCAAGUAGAACGCUGAAGAGAGGAGCUUGCUCUUCUUGGAUGAGUUGCGAACGGGUGAGUAACGCGUAGGUAACCUGCCUUGUAGCGGGGGAUAACUAUUGGAAACGAUAGCUAAUACCGCAUAACAAUGGAUGACACAUGUCAUUUAUUUGAAAGGGGCAAUUGCUCCACUACAAGAUGGACCUGCGUUGUAUUAGCUAGUAGGUGAGGUAAUGGCUCACCUAGGCGACGAUACAUAGCCGACCUGAGAGGGUGAUCGGCCACACUGGGACUGAGACACGGCCCAGACUCCUACGGGAGGCAGCAGUAGGGAAUCUUCGGCAAUGGGGGCAACCCUGACCGAGCAACGCCGCGUGAGUGAAGAAGGUUUUCGGAUCGUAAAGCUCUGUUGUAAGUCAAGAACGGGUGUGAGAGUGGAAAGUUCACACUGUGACGGUAGCUUACCAGAAAGGGACGGCUAACUACGUGCCAGCAGCCGCGGUAAUACGUAGGUCCCGAGCGUUGUCCGGAUUUAUUGGGCGUAAAGCGAGCGCAGGCGGUUUGAUAAGUCUGAAGUUAAAGGCUGUGGCUCAACCAUAGUUCGCUUUGGAAACUGUCAAACUUGAGUGCAGAAGGGGAGAGUGGAAUUCCAUGUGUAGCGGUGAAAUGCGUAGAUAUAUGGAGGAACACCGGUGGCGAAAGCGGCUCUCUGGUCUGUAACUGACGCUGAGGCUCGAAAGCGUGGGGAGCGAACAGGAUUAGAUACCCUGGUAGUCCACGCCGUAAACGAUGAGUGCUAGGUGUUGGAUCCUUUCCGGGAUUCAGUGCCGCAGCUAACGCAUUAAGCACUCCGCCUGGGGAGUACGACCGCAAGGUUGAAACUCAAAGGAAUUGACGGGGGCCCGCACAAGCGGUGGAGCAUGUGGUUUAAUUCGAAGCAACGCGAAGAACCUUACCAGGUCUUGACAUCCCGAUGCUAUUUCUAGAGAUAGAAAGUUACUUCGGUACAUCGGUGACAGGUGGUGCAUGGUUGUCGUCAGCUCGUGUCGUGAGAUGUUGGGUUAAGUCCCGCAACGAGCGCAACCCCUAUUGUUAGUUGCCAUCAUUCAGUUGGGCACUCUAGCGAGACUGCCGGUAAUAAACCGGAGGAAGGUGGGGAUGACGUCAAAUCAUCAUGCCCCUUAUGACCUGGGCUACACACGUGCUACAAUGGUUGGUACAACGAGUUGCGAGUCGGUGACGGCGAGCUAAUCUCUUAAAGCCAAUCUCAGUUCGGAUUGUAGGCUGCAACUCGCCUACAUGAAGUCGGAAUCGCUAGUAAUCGCGGAUCAGCACGCCGCGGUGAAUACGUUCCCGGGCCUUGUACACACCGCCCGUCACACCACGAGAGUUUGUAACACCCGAAGUCGGUGAGGUAACCUUUUGGAGCCA
rnacentral:rRNA from 1 species